rnacentral:lncRNA from 1 species
CCAAGCUAAUGAAGGCACCUCCUUAACUUAGUUCCUUUUUCUUAAGUGACUCUAGUUUGUGUCAAGUUGUCAAAAACUAACCAGUGCACCAAGAAGGAUUUCCCCAGAUGAAUGGCUGGGCCACUCAGGAAAUUUGUAUUUGCCCCUCAGGACCAGAAGGAAAGACUUCCCUCACAUCUCCUUAGUGUUGUUAUAUUUCUUGCUGCUGUGACUGACAGAGGUCACUU